CAGUAGCCGCGGGAAUACGUAGGGUGCGAGCGUUGUCCGGAAUUACUGGGCGUAAAGAGCUCGUAGGUGGUUUGUCGCGUCGUUUGUGUAAGCACGCAGCUUAACUGCGGGACUGCAGGCGAUACGGGCAUAACUUGAGUGCUGUAGGGGAGACUGGAAUUCCUGGUGUAGCGGUGGAAUGCGCAGAUAUCAGGAGGAACACCGAUGGCGAAGGCAGGUCUCUGGGCAGUAACUGACGCUGAGGAGCGAAAGCAUGGGUAGCGAACAGGAUUAGAUACCCGAGUAGUCCCUGUCUCUUAUA
rnacentral:rRNA from 1 species